rnacentral:rRNA from 1 species
CCCUGCCAUUUGUACACACCGCCCGUCGCUACUACCGAUUGAAUGGCUUAGUGAGGCCUUGGGAUCGUGGUCCGUUCAGCAAUGGAUUGGCCGUGAGAACUUGUCCAAACUUGGUCAUUUAGAGGAAGUAAAAG